rfam:Ornithorhynchus anatinus chromosome 3, whole genome shotgun sequence.
CCCCUCUCAGGAUCACACCUGGAGAGUUUCCAGUACUUUACCAGUCUCGGCUACAGGAGGGAGAGUCAAGCAGAUGCAUACCCAUUCCAUUCCUAGCUUGGACAGUGGCCUGUGAGUGGAAGGCAGUAUGCUACAAGU